rnacentral:rRNA from 1 species
GUUGCCAGCAUUUAAGUGGGGACUCAGAUGAGACUGCCGGUGGACAAACCGGAGGAAGGUGGGGACGACGUUAAGUCAUCAUGGCCCUUAUGUCCUGGGCUACACACGUGCUACAAUGGCCGGUACAGAGUGAAGCGAAACCGCGAGGUGAAGCAAAACGCAGAAAGCCGGCUCAGUACGGAUUGGAGUCUGAAACUCGACUUCAUGAAGUUGGAAUCGCUAGUAAUCGCGCAUCAGCAUGGCGCGGUGAAUACGUUCCCGGGCCUU